CAAAGUCCUGAUGAAAAGGAAAGGGUGCGUCGAUUUUGGCAACACCUCUAUCAUGUGAAGAGGUACUUGUGAUUCGCAUCGCAACCGUCUCACCCCCCACAUGAUCCCUUUAACGCAGAAGAGAUUAAAAGAAAUCUUACACAGAGAAGCACGAUCGCACGAUUGAGAAGCAAAUCGCACAAAGUCCUGAUGAAAAGGAAAGGGUGCGUCGAUUUUGGCAACACCUCUAUCAUGUGAAGAGGUACUUGUGAUUCGCAUCGCAACCGUCUCACCCCCCACAUGAUCCCUUUAACGCAGAAGAGAUUAAAAGAAAUCUUACACAGAGAAGCACGAUCGCACGAUUGAGAAGCAAAUCGCACAAAGUCCUGAUGAAAAGGAAAGGGUGCGUCGAUUUUGGCAACACCUCUAUCAUGUGAAGAGGUACUUGUGAUUCGCAUCGCAAAUAUUCCUGCCCAUUCACCUAUGUCCAUCCAAGUCCCAUCCACCACGAUUAGCGGAGACAAGUGGGCGGUCGGAUCAAGUAUAGUUCGCUCUCAGCUCCGGAAAAUGCACCCUAGAUAGCCUUCUGAUUUUAGGUCGAUAUCGUGGCUGCAUCGAAUGAGCAAUAAUCGCACGAGCCGCUUAUUUCCGAUGACAGCUUUCGCUUUCAGAACAUUAAACACAUCAAAAACACCCGAGUUGGCGUUGAGCUACUGGACGAGGUAUCGUUAGUACCUACGUAUAGAUUGACUUUUGAACAUGGUGUAUGUAUACUGUAUGGUUUUAUCUCAUUCAAAUCAUGCCGCCUCCCCCCCCCCCCCCCCCCCCCCCCCGUAAUUUUAAAAUGACUUCUUCCGACCGGCAUGAAAGACGUGUCACUAUUCGAGAAAAAUACUUCAACGAAUUUAUCCCCCUUUCUCUACCGUUCAUUUCACAGGAAAAACGCCGUACCUACCUUCUCCUAGACGAAGCACAUUUUUCUCGGACAGAGUGUUGUACCAUUCGGAACUUAUAACGGAAUUAUGAGGCAUGGAGAUGACCAGAUAGUCUUAAAACGGAACAUUUAGUCUAAAACAUAAUUUUCAAAUCUAAGUAGAAUGAAUCCACACCGUUCUUGCUGUAGAGAGCAGAGUUUGACCGCGUUUAGCAAAACGGAACCAAGCCACAUCUGCUUAUGCCAAAUAAUUGGGCAAUUAAAUUUUUUAACGUGGAAACGGAUGUGCAUAUUCCGAAGCAUAUUCCUUUAAAUUUUUAAAAGAAUCCUCACAAACGUUCUCUUUUCAAAAAUGAAAUAGCCCAGUUUCUGGCAUUAGCUGAUGUGGCUUCGAUCGUUUCUGCUUAACACUGUCCAAUACUACUUUCUGCAAGCGAGCGCGCCGCAACUUCAUUCUUGAUUCGAAAAUCGUGUCCCAGACAAAAUGUUCCGUUUCGAGAAAAGCUGGUCAUCUCCAUGCCUUGCAUUUGAACUUUGCUCUUUUACCGGCUGAUCCUUCUGCGGGCCGAUUAUUGAAAUUGAUAGACAAAGCUAUAGACAAAGGGGACAGAAGAGAUAUGAAAUGAUGCUAUUGCUGGGAGCGGGUG
rnacentral:lncRNA from 1 species